rnacentral:lncRNA from 10 species
AGUCAGCAGCUGACAGAAUAAUCCACACAUUGGUUUCCUUACCUAUGGAGUGAGGGCUAUUAUGGUGGAAAAGGCCAAGUAGAAGCCACUAGAACUAUCUGUACUUAGGAAAAUAGUAAACCAAAAGCAAUGCUCAAUUCCUAUAGGGACUGAAGAGAUUAGUGCCACCAUAAGUACUUGAAGGAAGGCGGGGUGGUGAUUCCUACCAUAUGUCCAUUCAACUCGCCUAUUUAGCCUGGGCAGAAGACAGAUGGAUUAUCACAAACUUAACUAGGUGGUGACUCCAAUUGCAGCUACAGUACCAGAUGUAUUGCUUGAGCAAAUUAACACAACUCCUGGUUCCUGGUAUGCAGCUACCUGGAAUCUUGAUUGCCUUUUCUUUCCACAUCACAUUGGUCCAUUACAUUGACGACAUUAUGCUCACUGGACCUAAUGAGUGAGACAUAGCAACUACUCCAGACCUAUUGGAACUGACUUCACCUGCAACAGAGCUUGGAGAAGCUGAAGCCUAAGGGUGCUCUAAAGCAGGGGUCCCCAACCUCCGGGCUACAGACCAAUACCCAUCCAAGGCCUGUUAGGAACCCGGCUGCAGAGCAGGAGCUUUUCUGCAUGGAAGAAUUAAAUUGAGAAAAACAUAGUUAUUUAAAAAAUCACAUCGUAACUGAGUUAACAAGGCACUCAGGUUCUAAUCAUAGAUUACCUUCCUUCUUCAUCUUCCAGCUGUUUUCUAAAGUCUUCCUCCUGUUGCUUGAGUUGGUUCUGCAAAUCAGUUAUUUUUUGAAGAAAAGAAACUGUGAUUUCUUUAAUUUCUGUUUCCUUUAGUGCUGACUUGGUCUGCAGAUCUAGAAGCAUCCUUUGGUUUGAGAGAGAAGAGGUCACUAAACAUUUUAUAGCCACUUUCAUUAAUUUUUCCUUUUUUUUUCUUUAAACCUCAAGGAACUCUUCAAGAAGUGUCAUUUUUUAACUGAGUAAAUUCUUAAUUUGCAGUAUAAGAUGGCCAAAAGCAAGCCAAGGGACAGUUACUAGCUGGCUUUCAACAUUAAAUUGUCUUAAUGGUUCUAAGGCCAUUAUUUGCUCUAUAUACCUUACAUAUUCUUGAUUUGAGCUCUCAGUUGCCAAAAUCUGAUGCUGAACAUCCUCUGCAUUUUUCCCAGCCUUGGCCGCUUUUUCCUGUAAUGAUGAGUUCUCCAGCUUAAGAUCUUCUAUCUCACUGGCUGUUAACGCUUUAUAGCUUAUUAAAAAGAAAAAAAAGUCAAAGUAGUUUUCUAA